GAUGAACGCUGGCGGCGUGCUUAACACAUGCAAGUCGAACGAACCUUCGGGUUAGUGGCGGACGGGUGAGUAACGCGUGAGAAUCUGCCCUCAGGAGGGGGAUAACGGCUGGAAACGGCCGCUAAUACCCCAUAUGCCGAGAGGUGAAAUGAAUUUCGCCUGAGGAUGAGCUCGCGUCUGAUUAGCUAGUUGGUGGGGUAAAGGCCUACCAAGGCGACGAUCAGUAGCUGGUCUGAGAGGAUGAUCAGCCACACUGGGACUGAGACACGACCCAGACUCCUACGGGAGGCAGCAGUGGGGAAUUUUCCGCAAUGGGCGAAAGCCUGACGGAGCAACGCCGCGUGAGGGAUGAAGGCCUCUGGGCUGUAAACCUCUUUUCUCAAGGAAGAAGAUCUGACGGUACUUGAGGAAUAAGCCACGGCUAAUUCCGUGCCAGCAGCCGCCGUAAAAC
rnacentral:rRNA from 1 species